CUUCACCAUCACUAAUAUCACAGCUGAACAUGGUGGAAAUUAUCGGUGUGAGGCUCAGAACAGACGAGGACGUAGUGACGCCUCCUUACAUGUGACUGUUGGAGCAGUUUGGACUUCAGCAGUCAUUGGAUCAGCCGCUGCAGCUUUCCUCGCUGUAACUCUCCUCGCUGUAACUCUCCUCUCCGUUUUCUUUCUGAUCAGAAAAAAGAGAAACUCUCAUCAAUCUCCUGAUCCUGGGGACAGACUUGACCACAGUGAGCAG